AAUCCGGCACUCAUAAGGUCAAGCUGUGAUGGGGAGAGGAAAUUGUUUCCUCGAGUCGUUGAUUUCACACUGCCAAGAAAAGCCUCUAGCUAGAAUAUUAGGUGCCCGUACCGCAAACCGACACAGGUAGUCAAGAUGAGAAUUCUAAGGUGAGCGAGCGAACUCUCGUUAAGGAACUCGGCAAAAUGACCCCGUAACUUCGGGAGAAGGGGUGCUCUCUAGGGUUAACGCCCGGGAGAGCCGCAGUGAAUAGGCCCAAGCGACUGUUUAUCAAAAACACAGGUCUCUGCUAAACCGUAAGGUGAUGUAUAGGGGCUGACGCCUGCCCGGUGCUGGAAGGUUAAGAGGAGUGGUUAGCUUCUGCGAAGCUACGAAUCGAAGCCCCAGUAAACGGCGGCCGUAACUAUAACGGUCCUAAGGUAGCGAAAUUCCUUGUCGGGUAAGUUCCGACCCGCACGAAAGGCGUAACGAUUUGGGCACUGUCUCAACGAGAGACUCGGUGAAAUCAUAGUACCUGUGAAGAUGCAGGUUACCCGCGACAGGACGGAAAGACCCCGUGGAGCUUUACUGCAGUCUGAUAUUGAAAUUCGGCACAGUUUGUACAGGAUAGGUAGGAGCCUUAGAAACGUGAACGCUAGUUUACGUGGAGGCGUUGGUGGGAUACUACCCUCGCUGUGUUGGAUUUCUAACCCGCACCAUUGAUCAUGGUGGGAGACAGUGUCAGAUGGGCAGUUUGACUGGGGCGGUCGCCUCCUAAAGAGUAACGGAGGCGCUCAAAGGUUCCCUCAGAAUGGUUGGAAAUCAUUCACAGAGUGUAAAGGCAUAAGGGAGCUUGACUGCGAGACUUACAAGUCGAGCAGGGUCGAAAGACGGACUUAGUGAUCCGGUGGUUCCGCAUGGAAGGGCCAUCGCUCAACGGAUAAAAGCUACCCCGGGGAUAACAGGCUUAUCUCCCCCAAGAGUUCACAUCGACGGGGAGGUUUGGCACCUCGAUGUCGGCUCAUCGCAUCCUGGGGCUGUAGUCGGUCCCAAGGGUUGGGCUGUUCGCCCAUUAAAGCGGUACGCGAGCUGGGUUCAGAACGUCGUGAGACAGUUCGGUCCCUAUCCGUCGUGGGCGUAGGAAAUUUGAGAGGAGCUGUCCUUAGUACGAGAGGACCGGGAUGGACAUACCUCUGGUGUACCAGUUGUCGUGCCAACGGCAUCGCUGGGUAGCUAUGUAUGGACGGGAUAAGUGCUGAAAGCAUCUAAGCAUGAAGCCCCCCUCAAGAUGAGAUUUCCCAACUUCGGUUAUAAGAUCCCUCAAAGAUGAUGAGGUUAAUAGGUUCGAGGUGGAAGCAUGGCGACAUGUGGAGCUGACGAAUACUAAUC
rnacentral:rRNA from 1 species